GAGUUUGAUCUUGGCUCAGGACGAACGCUGGCGGCGCGCUUAACACACGCAAGUCGAACGAAGUGUGUUGGAUUGAUCCUUCGGGUGAUUGAUAGCAGACUUAGUGGCGGACGGGUGAGUAACACGUGAGCAACCUGCCUUACAGAGGGGGAUAACGUCUGGAAACGGACGCUAAUACCGCAUAACACUGAGUGAGGGCAUCCUAAUUCAAUCAAAGGAGAAAUCCGCUGUAAGAUGGGCUCGCGACCGAUUAGCCAGUUGGCGGGGUAACGGCCCACCAAAGCGACGAUCGGUAGCCGGACUGAGAGGUU
rnacentral:rRNA from 1 species